AACAGAACCGGGGGCACUCCGCGAAGUAAGUGGCGACCGGUGUGAGUAACACGUGACUAACCUGCCCUCGAGCGGGGGAUAACCCCGGGAAACCGGGGCUAAUACCGCAUAACAUCCUCGAUACGAAAGUGUUGAGGAUCAAAGGAGCAAUUCACUUGAGGAGGGGGUCGCGGCCGAUUAGGUAGUUGGCGGGGUAACGGCCCACCAAGCCUUUGAUCCGUAGCUGGUCUGAGAGGAUGAUCAGCCACACUGGGACUGAGACACGGCCCAGACUCCUACGGGAGGCAGCAGUGGGGAAUAUUGGACAAUGGGCGCAAGCCUGAUCCAGCAAUGCCGCGUGAGUGAUGAAGGCCUUCGGGUUGUAAAGCUCUUUCGCCCGCGACGAUGAUGACGGUAGCGGGAGAAGAAGCCCCGGCUAACUUCGUGCCAGCAGCCGCGGUAAU
rnacentral:rRNA from 1 species